UACCCCGUAAUAGCUUGAGUGGCAUCACUCGGGUUUGAAAGCUCCGGCGGUACAGGAUGACCAUGCGCACGAUUAGCUAGUAGGUGAGGUAACGGCUCACCUAGGCUACGAUCGUUAGGGGGGCCUGAGAGGGUUAUCCCCCACACUGGUACUGAGACACGGACCAGACUCCUACGGGAGGCAGCAGUGAGGAAUAUUGCGCAAUGGAGGAAACUCUGACGCAGCCAUGCCGCGUGCAGGAAGACGGCCCCACGGGUUGUAAACUGCUUUUAUCAGGGAAGAAACCCCGGGACGUGUCCCGGGUUGACGGUACCUGAGGAAUAAGCACCGGCUAACUCCGUG
rnacentral:rRNA from 1 species